GAAAUGCGAUAAGUAAUGUGAAUUGCAGAAUUCAGUGAAUCAUCGAAUCUUUGAACGCACAUUGCGCCCGCCAGUAUUCUGGCGGGCAUGCCUGUUCGAGCGUCAUUUCAACCAUCAAGCCCCCGGCUUGUGUUGGGGACCUGCGGCUGCCCGCAGGCCCUGAAAAACAGUGGCGGGCUCGCUGUCACACCGAGCGUAGUAGCAUACAUUCUCGCUCAGGGCGUGCUGCGGGUUCCGGCCGUUAAACGACCUUCAUAACCCAAGGUUGACCUCGGAUCAGGUGGGAAGACCCGCUGAACUUAAGC
rnacentral:misc_RNA from 1 species